rnacentral:rRNA from 1 species
AUUGAACGCUGGCGGCAGGCCUAACACAUGCAAGUCGAGCGAGCGGCGGACGGGUGAGUCAUGUCUGGGAAACUGCCUGAUGGAGGGGGAUAACUCCUGGAAACGGUAGCUAAUACCGCAUACCAUCAGAUUUGCCCAGAUGGGAUUAGCUAGUAGGUGGGGUAACGGCUCACCUAGGCGACGAUCCCUAGCUGGUCGUAGAGGAUGACCAGCCACACUGGAGCUGAGACACGGUCCAUACUCCUACGUGAGGCAGCAGUGGGGAAUAGUGCACAAUGGGCGCAAGCCUGAUGCAGCCAUGCCGCGUGUAUGAAGAAGGCCUUCGGGUUGUAAAGUACUUUCAGCGGGGAGGCGUUACCCGCAGAAGAAGCACCGGCUAACUCCGUGCCAGCAGCCGCGGUAAUAG